rnacentral:antisense_RNA from 1 species
GCUGCCGCUCCGCCCUCACCUGAGCCUGAGGUUGGCCAUGAACUCGGGCAUGGAGACGGUGUCCAUCAGCACGAAGUCUGCCUUGCCGAAUUCCAGGCUCUCCUGCUCCGCCAUGGCGCCGGUGCGGGGGCUCAGGAUUAUUACAGAUGUCUUGAGCAUGGGACCAUUCUUUUUGCAUCCACCAAAUAACUAUUAUACUACCUUGCAUAUAUAAAUAUGAAAUCCAUACUGGUUCAAUGGAAUGAAGUGAGUUGACAUCUUCUAUUACAAAAUCUACUAGGAAAUCUAGAGGCCUCCAAGGACCUGGCUGGGCUUCAACUCUGGUUGAGUUUGAGAUGAGUAAACCAGACUGAAGGACCUUGCCCAAGGCCUGCUUCAGCUGCCAGCCACCCACACUUGCUAAGAAAAAGGGAAGUGGCUUUGUCACCUCCUGAGGGACUGCCUCUGCCAUCAGAAAACCACUCCAACCCCUGGCACCAGCAGAGCUGGGCUGCAUCUGACUACUGUUAGCAGCUGUCCUUCAGAAGGAGGAGAUCCACCUGUCUCGAUAUGAGUGUCCUCAUUCGUGGAAUAAAAGCUCUGGAAUAAGGU